UACGGAGGGGGCUAGCGUUGUCCGAAGUUACUGGGCGUAAAGCGCGCGUAGGCGGGUUGGUAAGUCCGCUGUGAAAGCCCGGAGCUCAACUCCGGAGGGUCGGUGGAUACUGCCAGUCUUGAAGGUGCUAGGGGGAGAUGGAAUUACCGGUGUAGCGGUGAAAUGCGUAGAUAUCAGGAGGAACACCGGUGGCGAAGGCGGGUCUCUGGGCCGAUAUUGACGCUGAGGAGCGAAAGCGUGGGGAGCGAACAGG
rnacentral:rRNA from 1 species